rnacentral:rRNA from 1 species
AGCUCCAAUAGCGUAUAUUAAAGUUGUUGCAGUUAAAAAGCUCGUAGUUGAACUUUGGGCUUGGCUGGGUGGUCUGCUCUUAGAGCAGUACUACUCUGGCUGAGUCUUUCCUUCUGGAGAACUAUGGUGCUAUUCAUUUAGUGCUAUAGGGAACCAGGACUUUUACUUUGAAAAAAUUAGAGUGUUUAAAGCAGGCUUACGCUUGAAUACAUUAGCAUGGAAUAAUAAAAUAGGACUUUGGUUUUAUUUUGUUGGUUUUCGAAACCGAAGUAAUGAUUAAUAGGGAUAGUUGGGGGCAUUUGUAUUGAGCCGUCAGAGGUGAAAUUCUUGGAUCGGCGCAAGACGAACAACUGCGAAAGCAUUUGCCAAGGAUGUUUUCA